rnacentral:rRNA from 1 species
CAGCAGCCGCGGUAAUACGAAGGGUGCAAGCGUUAAUCGGAAUUACUGGGCGUAAAGCGUGCGUAGGCGGUUUGUUAAGUCUGCUGUGAAAUCCCCGGGCUCAACCUGGGGAUGGCAGUGGAUACUGGCAAGCUAGAGUGUGUCAGAGGAUGGUGGAAUUCCCGGUGUAGCGGUGAAAUGCGUAGAGAUCGGGAGGAACAUCAGUGGCGAAGGCGGCCAUCUGGGACAACACUGACGCUGAGGCACGAAAGCGUGGGGAGCAAACAGGAUUAGAUACCCCAGUAGUCCCUGUCUCUUAUAC